GAUGGGGAGGUUUUCUCAUAUAAAAGAAGCCAUCAAAUUUCCUCUAAGAUAAGGAGUGUCUCUAUGCAAAUGUCCUUCCCUGUAAUAUAUUUAAGAGGUGAAGACCAAGAGAUUUGACUUAUUCUGCGUCAACACACACCAUGAUCUCUGCAUCCCUACUGCUGCUGCUGGCAGCCGUACACUGUAAGUGUUUUUACAUUUUACAUUUAGUACAGUUUUGGUUAUAUAUAGCUUUUUUUGUUUUUACAACAUUAAAAUAAUUUUUCUUUAACAGGUGUUCACUGUGUUGAGCUGAUCCAGCCCGGAUCCACAGUAUUAACCACUGGUCAGUCAAUGACUCUGACCUGUAAAGUGUCUGGAUAUUCAUUAACUGAUAGCAACUACUGUACACACUGGAUACGACAACCUGCAGGAAAAGCUCUGGAGUGGGUCGGAGAGAUAUGUGGUAGCGGUAACACUUACUACAGUGAGAAACUGAAAAGCAGGUUUCAGGUUUCCAGAGACACGUCCAGCAGCACAGUAACAUUAACAGGGCAGAACAUGCAGACUGAAGACACAGCUGUGUAUUACUGCGCUCGUCAACCACAGUGAGACAGAUCAACAACAUCCCCGUACAAAAACACCUCAUACAAAGUCCUUUUAGAACUUUUCCAACCAAGUCUAAAUGGUAAACAAACAAAUAAAUAAAUAAAUUACCCAAAUGACACCUAAUAGGUUAAAUUAAAUCAUUUUAUGAGUAGUUUGUAGUAUAGAUUUAAACAGUAUGCCAUCAAAACCAUAAUCUCUAAUGUUGCUGCAUGUUCUACACACAGUCAAAAGUUUUUGACCUACUUGAUUUUAUGUUUUAGAUUUUACCAACAUAAAGUUAAUUAUUUUUCUUUAGCAUCCUUACGUGUUUUAUUCCUCUUAUACCACUGCAGUGUACUCACAAUUACAAUGUUGUAUUGAUUAAAGAAUGACACAUCAUACAUUUUAUCCAUUUAUAAUCACAUUUAUUGUUGUGGAACAUUCAAAAGAUACAUUAUACAUUGUACAUUUUACAUUAUAACAAGGGGCGUCACUAGACCUUUUAAAAACAAGCUCCAGUAAAAUGUUCCUAAUAAAUCAUUUUCUGAUGAGGUAGAUUUCAGUAGAUAUGAUCUGAAAAUAGGCUUUCCUGUUCAUUGAUUGUUAUCAUUUACAUGAUUUGAAUUAUGUAAAACAUGAAGGCUGAUUGUAAUGGCAUCUGAAGCAAAAAUAUUCUGCACAUCCUCUUUGAUCAUAUGCCCUGCACCGUCGCUGUGUUGCUCCUCCCUUUACUUAAUACAUAAUACGACAUUGUAGCUGAUGAGAGGUAACUACCAGGCUACACUUAUGGCUGUGUUAACGAGUAGUAUAUGAAUUUGUAUUUAGUUGAAUAAUGCCAUCCCAUUUUCCACAUCUAAUUUAUUUGGCACAGAUUUGAUUGACAACGUUAACUUGUUAACUACUGAAAGAAUGCUUGUUUAUCUCUUCUACUUUGGGAUUCUGCCACAAACUAUGUGAUUUAGUCAUCAUCAGUGAAAGCUUUUUGUACUGAUUUUAGAUUGUUCAGGUCCAAGAGGUGUGUGUGAUUAGUGAUGGAGAUAAACUCUGCAGGACAGUGCAGUGGCCCUCCAGGAAUCUGAAUUACCCAUCUCUGGUUUCUAAGCUAAUUUUGGUUUCAGUGGUCUCUUCUAGUAUAUUGUCUGGUAUUUGUAUAAACAAAACAUAAUGAAUUUGUUUUUAGGACUCUGAUAGACUAGGAUUGGAGAGGGUGGAUUUUAAAUGUAAUGAAAAUGUGUUAUGGGAUUUCAGGUGGCGGGUGGAGACUCCUUCCAUAAAUGUUAAAUAAAUAUAGCCUUACAGAAAAUGUCACAGUGUCAACAAUUACCCACAUAUUUAAAAUCCAUUGUGGAUUUAAAUGGAGCAUUGCCAAACAAGUUUCUGCACAAGUUGUUACAACAGAAACAAUACUGCAUUUGAAUGAGCUGAUUAAUAAAAAACCUAAAAUGAAUCAACAAAUCAAAAUUGAGGAUUCAGUGCAGUGGUAUGAUGUCAUUCAACUGUGUGAGUCUUUAUUUUAUUGAAAACAUUAGCUGGUAAACAAAACUUCUAUUUUAAUUAAAAACAAACAAACAAACAAACAAACAAAAAAAACAACACAUGUUCUCGAUGAGAGGAAUCUCCUCAUCAUGAUUUAAAAACUUUUUAAAUACGUUCUCCUCCAAUCAUCACCAGAUAUGCAAAUACAAGCGUCAGGGUUGGAUAUCACUCUAUUUAUGAGAUGUGAUGGACUCUGUUAAACUUUGGAGAACAGAGAAGACCCCAGUACAAACAACACACACCAUGUUCUCUACAUCUCUACUGCUCAUGCUGGCAGCUGCUUCCUAUGUGCAUGGUGUUGAACUGACUCAGCCUGCUUCCAUGACAGUCCAGCCAGGCCAGAGUCUCUCCAUCAACUGCAAGGUUUCAUAUUCAGUUACCAGCUAUGAUACAGCUUGGAUCCGACAACCUGCAGGAAAAGCUCUGGAGUGGAUUAGCUACAUCAGUAGUGGUGGGAGUACAUAUUACAAUGACAAACUGAAAAAUAAGUUCAGCAUCUCUAGAGACACUGCUACUAACACAAUAACGAUUCGAGGACAGAAUCUGCAAACUGAAGACACAGCUGUGUAUUACUGCGCAAGUGGCACAGUGACAUAGAAUAGUGGAUUCCCCUUACAAAAACUUUGAGACAUGUUAGAGACAUCCUCUCAGUGUGACUAAUAAACCAUCUCAUUC